rnacentral:rRNA from 1 species
GGCGGGUCGCGGUGAGAAGGAAGAGUAGGUAGGCGUACAGAGAGAAUAGGUGUUAAGGUGUAGCGGUGAGGAGAAAGAGUGGGUUGCGACCAGGAGGAGAAGAACUCGGUGUGAUAGUGGGUUACGACGACGAGGAGGAGAAGAUGUGUACAACGCGGCAGCUACGUGAGGUGAGAGGACCUCACGCGCACCGGCACCACCGACCGGUCUCGGUCCCGUCGUGGGGAAUAACCGCUCCUUGGGUCUCUGCGGUACCUACCGCGGUACCUUCGAGGAGACGACAGCCAGACUAGACCGGCAGUGCGGGGUCAGCAGCCGGGCGAGACAUAGGCCGGUCGUCGGGGCGGAGGCUAGGCUAAGCCUGCCGGGGUGCGUGUCGGAGGCGGUGGAUGCCCGAUGCCGUACGGGGGUCUCCAAGACGACUAGGGCGCGGCGAGUAGGACCGAAGUAGGAGACGAGCGCCGAGCGCAACUGGCGGAGCGGCGCCGGACGAGGUCCGGUGGUUAGCCUCGGACAGGUGCUUCAGGUCGGCCGGGAGGAGGGCCCGCGCGAGGAGCCGGCAACGGCGCACGAGGCGGUCGUUGAAGCAGUACUCGGGCAGCUUAACCGCCACGUGGACCGCGUAGAACCGGGUCGGUGCUGGCGCGGUCGUGCUUCAGCGACUACAACUUAUCGGGGCACGACCGGUCCUCGCUGUACUAGUAGAGGAACAUCGACGACCUGAGCAGGAGCAGGGGCUGGCGUUGCGGACCGGCUACGGGGGAGAGAAGGAGACGACGCUUUAACGAUAGAGCGUUCGCGGUGCCGCUGGUGCUGGCGAGAUAGAAUCCCUUUAGUUACCCAACCCAAGCAAGGCAAGGUAAAAGAAGCGAGGAAAGGGUGAACCUUAAAGAAGAGUAAGGCAAAAGGAAAGGAAACGAGGCAGAAGUAAUGCCUCCUUUAAGCAAGGAAAGGGAAGAGAAGCCUUCUUUAAGCAAGGAAAGGGAAGAGGAGACCUCCCUUAAACCCGCGCCGCCGCCCCCGGCCACCCCCGCCGCGCGGCGCCUUCCCGCCCCGUCGUCUACCUGCCCCGGGCCACCCCCGCCGCGCGGCGCCUUCCCGCACCGUCGUCUACCUGCCCCGGGCCGCCACCACCGCGCGACGCCUACCUACCCUCCGUUCCAGCACCCAGCAAGUCAACAAGAAAAAAAAGACAAAACGGGCAUGGCCAAUCCCUUUCUAAAUAAAUAAACAAAUAAAUCCAUUUAUCAGAUACUGUACACCCGGUGUGUAGGGGAAAACUGAUCAGUUUAACUGAAUCAGUUGGGCUUAAUCUUAUUAUAUAAUUAAGAUUUUUUAUUUAAUUUGAAUUUUUUAAUCAUAUUUUAUUAGGCAUUGAGCCUACUUUUAUGAAACAUGUACUUUCAACGAGUCUUGCUGCUCUGCUUAGGUUGAUGCGUUAGACAAGCGGACGGUGUGUAGGGAUCGUAUCGUUUGUACGUUGGAACGAGGAGGCCAAGCUGAUAGGCUUUUGCAGUUUGUGGCCCUUAUGAAAGGGCCUACAAGGGGGGGAAGCAGCCAUAGCGGAUGAUGACGCAAUCCAGUAGGGAUCGUGGUGAAUAACGGUACAAUACGAAACACAACGAAACUAACGAGAUAAUAAAUACACCCAAGGGGGAGGCAAUGAAGAAAGGCCAUCUGGAGCUCUGGCGGCGACUAUGGGGGCACUAGCUGAUGUAGCUGUUGCUGGGGAGGAAGAACGGUCUCGUUGGUCCGUUCGGGGGGAACUAGUUGGGCUAUAGCGGAUAAGAAGAGAGAUGAAGAACGUAAUCUCAUCACAUCGUACAAUGACGAAAACCUAUUAGGAUAAGACUACGUAUCAGACAGUAACAACGAUGUCAACAACUAUGGAAUGGACGUUAGGAUUUACGAAUCAUAUUCUACGAUCAAAUAGUAGUCACCGGGAUGUAAGAACAGGCAGACGGUACGAUAUGAUAGACCGGCACUAGUGAGCCCUCCACUAGUGCCCAUAUAUGAAUAUAUGUAAUAUAUAUAUAUACUAUGUACACCACUGAUUUCAGCUCAGCCGAGCAUCUCAUGGACGUUCACUAAGUGCCUAACCCCCGACUUCCUGGAGACAGGGCUGCCGGGAGACCCACCUAGAAACACCGCCUCGCUGUACCGUCCAACUCCGGUGGAUCUACUCUCCACCCGGACCCGGACCAGCCGCAGGUGCCAAUGAAGUUUUAUUGUGCGAAUUGCUCUAGAACCAUAAACUAGACUCAGAUCGGUGACCGUAUAUGCGUGAUUCCUUGAUGCGCCCUUGUCAAUACACGUGAGCUGCAGCACCAUAGUCGGCUUCGGAUCCAGACGAAGGUCGGCGUAAGCGUUGUACGUCCACACGUUACCCGCUACACGGGUCUAGGGAAGCGGUAUCCUAAAUCUGACUGUACGACUGGAGAGACAACACGGAUCCACCCCGACGCUGCACAACUAGAAGGCUCCGGCCCGUACUGGGUCCUUUCACACAGGCCGGUUUCCCCUAGCUCGCACAACCCAAAACACCACGUGGGGACGUCCCUUCAAAUAGAUAAACUUAUCAGCACAGGGAGCCAUUUUCCUACCGGGCCUCAACAUGGAACUGGAAUACUGUUGAUCAUGACCUAUGAAGUAUUUUAUGUGGGAAAGUUUACGGUCUAUGUUGAGCUACUAGCGAGAGAGUGUCCCGCUGCUCCUCUCCUAAACGGCCCAUCCUAAUACGAUAUGCUACUAUGAACCAAUUGAAUAGUAGAUAAGAGAAGAUAACGCAGUUCUACCUCCGACGGUCUUCGCAUCAGAAGCUAUCCUGGUCGAUAGGGGGAGAAAGACCGUAAGACGUCAAAUCAGAUGUAUAUCAUGGGGAAAGUAACUAUGGUUACGUAUACAUCACAUCUUGGAACGAACACUCAUGUAACCUGCUCAUGAGUGCCAACGAAACGAGGGGGGGAAAAAGGGGAAAGAUAUGGGCCAACAACGCUGGUCCGCAACCUCGGGUCCUCGGUCUGCGGUGGCAGCUGCUACUGAGGAUGAUGUGACCUCCACGGAUGAUGAUGCACGUCCGGCGACUGUCUCAUCAAAUCCUCCUAGGGUCCGUCCUCCGGACGCGGAGAAAGCUAGACAUAGGGUCAAACACGAUCGGUAGAAUACCGUUGAACAAAUUGAAUACAGACAUGAGUCUAUAACAACGAAGGCGACUGAGCAGAUACUAGCUCGAGAUCAUAAGCUCGGGAGCUCCGGGGACCGAACAUUAUACUACGAACGUUCUGAAUAAAAUAA